UACAGAGGUCCCAAGCGUUGUUCGGAUUCACUGGGCGUAAAGGGUGCGUAGGCGGUCGGGUAAGUCUGACGUGAAAUCUCCAAGCUCAACUUGGAAAUGGCGUCGGAUACUAUUCGGCUGGAGGGUUGGAAGGGGGACUGGAAUUCUCGGUGUAGCAGUGAAAUGCGUAGAUAUCGAGAGGAACACCGGUGGCGAAGGCGAGUCCCUGGACAAUCCCUGACACUGAGGCACGAAAGCUAGGGGAGCAAACAGG
rnacentral:rRNA from 1 species